AGAGGGGAGGAUGAAUUGGGUUUUCUAAAUUUUAAGGCCUCAAAUUAAUUUUUAAGUGAAUGUGGUUUGGCCUAUGUGAUAAUAUAGGUGUAGUGUAAGCAAUAGUAGUAAAACUCUAAACAAUUAUGAUUAAGUCACUUUUAGAAUUUAAGCUAGAGCAAUUGCUUAAGUAAAGAAAAUAAAUCAAGAAGCACACAAUGCAAACACAAUCAAGUAUAGUGGUUCGGUGCACCCCAAAGCACCUACGUCCACUGCCCAAACGUUCUUUUGGAAAUUCACUAUAAUCCCUCGGAUUACAGUUGGAUUGUUUUCCACGCACACAAUCCAAAAAUUCUUACAAUUGGUUUUAUGGGAUCACCAAUUAAUCUAACCGUCGGUUUUACGGGC
rnacentral:lncRNA from 1 species